AAACAUGUUUUAUUGUUAAAGGAUGUCAUUUGAUGAAAUUCUCCAUCAUUACAUAGCUCCCAGAAAAUCUUUACAAAAAAAAAAAAAAAGAAGAAGAAGAAAAUAAAAUGAAAAAGGAAAAGGUCUCUUGGAGAGGCAGAAAGUUACUCACAGGGAAAACAGGCGCAUUCCAAAAAUGGUUUUAGUAUGAAUGAUCGUGUACACUGUACUAUAUAGAGUAAUUAGUGGGUUUUCCUCAUCACAUCUUACAUAAUUUCACUCACAGUGUAGAAACCACCAGCAUCAGAACGAUCUAAAUAGAUGCAUCGAGUAGGGAGGGUCCCAGGUCAAGCUCUCGAAAGAAUAAAAAUAACCUUCUACCUAAGGCGAGCUCUCCAUAGCCACUAGACCAAAAGCAACACCCCAACUACAGAAAAGGAGACUCCAACUCCCAGAAGCCCCCGCGCGGAGGCGGGGCAAGGGCUUGCAGGCCGCAGAACAUCAAGGCCUGAGCUCGCUGAGGAUGGCGGGAACUGAAGAGCAGCCGUCCGCAGUCCUCCCUUCUCCCCGUGCCCCCGCGACCCGGCCCCUUCUCAAGCCCUCUGCACGCUGAACCAAAGGAUCAUGACUUACAUGAUCUUAUAUUCUGGAGUGCCUGCUAUACACAGCCUGUGACAUCAACUGCUGACUUGAAAUUGGACAUGAUGGGAGGAUUUACACCAUAGAAAUCUCCAGACAUUAAAAAUGGUGCUUUGGUGGAGGGGCUGGAGAGAUGGCUCAGAAGUUAAGAGCACUGGCUGCUCUUCCAGAGGACCUGGGUUCAAUU